UACAGAGGGUGCAAGCGUUGUUCGGAAUUAUUGGGCGUAAAGCGCGUGUAGGCGGCUUUGCAAGUCGGGUGUGAAAGCCCUCAGCUCAACUGAGGAAGUGCGCCCGAAACUGCAGAGCUUGAGUACCGGAGAGGGUGGCGGAAUUCCCCAAGUAGAGGUGAAAUUCGUAGAUAUGGGGAGGAACACCGGUGGCGAAGGCGGC
rnacentral:rRNA from 1 species